AAAGAAGACAAAAAACCGGCCUCAUUUACCGUAAUUUCACUUGCAUUUCAUCUACUUUUAGCCCCAUUGAUUGCGACCUUCUUUUCUCUAUAAAUAUCGAAACACCUCUCCCCGUUUCCCCACUUUUCCUUCCUUUUUUGUUUGUUGAACGCUCAAAGCAUAUUGUUUCGUUGAGGCUAGACGGAUCGAGAGGCGGAUUUUCAUUCGAUUUUCCUCGUGCGUUAUCGGAAGCUGGUUUCGUCGCUCUAGCAAGAAAACCAGCUCUUAGUUUAUUCAGUUGUAGCUUGCAGUGGGGGAUCGCAGAAGCAGCACUGCCCUUUCUUUUCUGUCCCUCGAUGGGAUCUAAUACGACUGCACUGUAGGGGAAGAAUAUUCCAGAGAAUUAUCUGUGAGCAAUGUAGGUUGGGUAAUCUGCUACUGUAAUUGUGAAUCAAACCAUCGCAGGUUGAGGAUGAGGAAUCUUGAUUGAUAUUCUCUUUCACUGCCAGCCAGCCAUCUCCAUCAGGCAGGUUCUGCUCCCUGUUUCACGGAUGUUAUGCAGCAAUGAAACUGAGAUCCAAUUGUAGAAAUUAUGCUAUGCGAGUUGUAAUUUUAGCUUGUACAUAAAGAGUGUACAAUGUCAAAAUAUG